UGCAUAGCUGCAUGUCAGUGGAAAGUCCAAAAAGCUUUCCAAUCCCCGUUUUCUUCUCUCUCUCUCUCUCUCUCACUCUAGUUUCCACACUCUUUACUCUAUCCGACUCCUCGCCAUCCCGGCUUCUCCGCCUAUCGCCGUUGCUGGUCGCCGUGAUCAAAGGCAAAGUCGCUGCUGUUUUAACAAUGGGAGAUUUUUGCUUAAAGAAUGAGCUGGCAAAUGAAGGUGAUAUUAAUUGCUAUGUUCUGCUGACAAAGGAUCAUAAACCCAUCUGUCGGACACAAUGCUUCAGUCCUCCUUCCAAGAUGCCUACUUAUUGGAGCAUAUCACACAUAAUUAGGCCAGAAAAAGCUCAUAUUCCUCAUGGGUUACCUUGUUGCAGCUUGUAUCGCGCCUCUGAAAACUCUCAACAGGAAAUAGAGUGGGUUAGGUUCUUGAAUUUUCUUCAGACAUAUAAAAAGGUUGCUGUAGGAAAGCUCGAUAGCUUUGAAUUCUACAUAAUUCCUCCCUGUGAAGGCUCAGACUUAAGCCAUGUCCGCGUUUUAUACAAGGAGGAGAGAAGGAAUUGUUUACAGGACUGUCUAAAACAAGAGAGACUGGCUGGGAUCUUGUCCGAGCAAAAAAAUAUUCUUUUGAAUGCUAAACCACAUAGAGUUGUGCAAUCAGCAAAAGGUUGCAUGCAAAGUAGAUUUGAAUCUUCGUUGGGUGAGGAUGCUGUAUCAAUCUCUAACUGUAUUGAGGAUAGUAUAUCUCCCGAGAAUAAGCUUUCGGAUGCUGAUGGAUGCCAAGCUCAAUAUAAGGUUAAAGUUAGCAGUAAACCUGAAAAUGUAGUGGAUCCCCAUGGUUCCUUGGGUAGAAAUUAUGUGCAAGUAGAUCCCAGUUAUUUGAAAACCCUUGGUCAAGUUCAUUCCAGCUGGAUUUUUGGUGCAAUUGCUGAGUUUGUUGACAAUUCCAGAGAUGCCAAAGCAACCAAAUUGCAAAUUUCUAUGGAAAUGGUGUAUUACAAACCAGCCGGCAAAGACAUUCCAAUGCUGUCAAUAAUAGAUGAUGGCCAUGGGAUGACUCAUCAGGAGAUUGUGAGAAUGAUUUCUUUUGGGCAUAAGCAACCUGAGGCUGAUGAUCCUGAUCAUAUUGGCAGAUUUGGGAUUGGUUUUAAGACUGGGGCAAUGAGAAUUGGGAAGGAUGCUUUGGUUCUUACUCAGGCUGCGAGCUCUCGUUCGGUUGCUUUUCUAUCCCAGUCACUAAAUGAUGGAAAGGAUAAUUUGGAGAUCCCCAUUGUCAGCUACCACAGAGUCGGUCAAUUUAUGGAAAUUGAUUCCAAUGUCCAAAAUGAGGCUUCUGCAAAAAACAAUCUGAAAGCAAUUAGAGAGUUUUCUCCAUUUAAUAAGUAUCUAAUAGGAGAAAAGGCUGGUCUCUUUAGUGAAAGAGGUACUGGAACACAAAUAUACAUUUGGAAUUUAGAUCAGUGGGGAUCAGAUUAUAGCUUGUGUUUGGAAACUGGAAUGAUUGGCGGGAGUUCAUUCCAUCAAGGUGACAUCCUUAUUCAUUCUAAACGUGUCAGAUCUCGCCCAGGCCAAAUGUCUGAAACAGUAAGGCAUAUUCUUUAUGUUUCUUGUGUGGCAUUAACCAAUUUUGUUAACAAAGUUUGUGGUUUCCUUGUGCUUCAGGUGCCUUUGGAUUAUUCUCUAAAAUCUUAUCUGGAAGUCAUCUUCUUUGAUCCACGAAUGAAGAUCUAUGUCCAAGGAGCACUUAUUAGAACUCGUCCUUUAGCCAAGUCACUGCAUAAAACUGUAGUAAAUGAGGGUGUUAUUAUGGGAAAACCAGUUCGGCUGAUUCUUGGCCGCUGUCAACUGGAAUGGGAGCAGGCAAAUUGUGGAAUUUUCUUGUAUUGGCAUGGGCGUCUGAUUGAGGCUUACAAAAGAGUUGGUAGCAUGAUUCAUAAUGGCGAUGCUGGUCGGGGCAUUAUUGGGGUUGUCGAUCUGACUGAUUUAAUGAAGGAUGAUAAUGGUCAUAUUUGGGUGCACAAUAACAAGCAAGGAUUCCAGGACUGUGAAGCUUAUGCAGAACUGGAGAAAUGGUUGGCUAUAAAAACAGAUGACUACUUGGACAAAUAUGUCAAUAAACUGCAAGUGGAAAAGGGUGGUCCCCUGCACAAACCUGAUCACGAAUGGGUGCAAUGUGACAAAUGCAGAAAGUGGAGAAGGUUAAGUGCUGGGUUCAAUAGCAAGACAUUGCCCCCUGACUGGUUUUGUUAUAUGAAGCCUUUCAAUGGAAGCUGCAGCGUGCCUGAAGAGAAGGUGGAAGAUGGAGUAGUGACAAUAUCUACUAAGCGAUCUGGAUACAAUUGCACCAAGGAUUUGGAGAACAAAGACAGAUCAUCCAAGGAAAGCCCCGAAAGCGGCAGUGAUAAUUCAAGUCAGAGCUGGGAAGGAGAUUAUAAAUCGUCUGUCAAAAGAAGAAAGGGACUUCCGAGGAGUUGCAAAAAGAACCCGAAUCACAUAUAGAAUUUAUGCUUCUGUAAUUGUACAGGUACCUUGCAUACAUAAUCCAGGGGAGGGAUGGGGUCGGGUGGUAUGAGGAGGGAGUUCUGAGUGCAAGACCUCCCACUUUACACCCCAAAAAAAAAUUUUGCAUGGUCGAAGCCCCCAGCAGGCCAAGUUGAUAUUCUGUUGCUUUUACAGGCGGUAGAUUUGGUCAUGGUCCCUGAUGCUAAAAUACUCAAAUGUUCAUUGUAUAUGGUGUGUUACAGCCAUUACCAGGCGGUUGACGUGGAUAUGGUUCCUCGAUACUCUUCCUUUCAUAGCAAAGUAGCCAAAAUCACUUUUUUUUUUGUUUUGUUUCCUUUUUGCUUUUUUUGAGCGCCAGAAUCACAUAUUGUCAUAAAAUGACUUUAUAUCGCAUGAUAUGCGAGGUUAGAAAUACGUCAAACAAGCAGCUUCCUUGUAAUUUUUCAGGCAGAUGUGUUAUAAAAACACUACUUUUACA